rnacentral:RNase_P_RNA from 1 species
UCAGUCGGCCGGACGGCCGCUCCCGCAAGCGCCGAAAGGCGGCGGGGGAGGAAAGUCCGGGCUCCAUCGACCGACGGUGCCGGAUAACGUCCGGCGGGGGCGACCCCAGGGACAGUGCCACAGAGAACGAACCGCCCGCCUUCGCCCUCGGGCUUCGGCGCGACAAGCUCCGGCUUGCCGCGUCGUAGCAGCGCAAGCUGCGAAAGGCAGGUAAGGGUGAAAAGGUGCGGUAAGAGCGCACCGCGCCGCCGGCAACGGCGGCGGCAUGGCAAACCCCACCGGGAGCAAAACCGAAUAGGAACGGCAGCCGCGACGGUUCGCUGCGGGCGCAAGCCCGCCCGCGAUAACCCCGCGAGGGGCGGUCGGCCCCGGCCGUUCGGGUAGGUUGCUCGAGGCGGCGCGCAAGCGCCGUCCCAGAGGAAUGGCCGUCACGUAUCGCGCGCAAGCGCGAUGCCCUACAGAACCCGGCUUACAGGCUGGCUGAUGCU